GAUGAACGCUGGCGGCGUGCCUAAUACAUGCAAGUCGAACGAAACUUCUUUAUCACCGAGUGCUUGCACUCACCGAUAAAGAGUUGAGUGGCGAACGGGUGAGUAACACGUGGGCAACCUGCCCAAAAGAGGGGGAUAACACUUGGAAACAGGUGCUAAUACCGCAUAACCAUAGUUACCGCAUGGUAACUAUGUAAAAGGUGGCUAUACUACCGCUUUUGGAUGGGCCCGCGGCGCAUUAGCUAGUUGGUAGGGUAAAGGCUUACCAAGGCAAUGAUGCGUACCCGAGUUGAGAGGUUGAUCGGCAACAAUGGAACUGAGACACGGCCCAAACUCCUACGGGAGGCAGCAGUAGGGAAUCUUCCACAAUGGGCGAAAGCCUGAUGGAGCAACGCCGCGUGGGUGAAGAAGGUCUUCGGAUCGUAAAACCCUGUUGUUAGAGAAGAAAGUGCGCGAGAGUAACUGUUCACGUUUCGACGGUAUCUAACCAGAAAGCCACGGCUAACUACGUG
rnacentral:rRNA from 1 species